rnacentral:rRNA from 1 species
AACUAGGAUUUAGAUACCCUAUUAUUUAAAAUGUAAAUAUUAAUACUUGAGUAGUAAUAGYUAUGUUCUUGAAACUUAAAAAAUUUGGCGGUAUUUUAGUCUAUUCAGAGGAACCUGUUUUAUAAUCGAUAAUCCACGAAAGAUUUUACUUAAUUUUGUUUUCAGUUUAUAUACCGCCGUUAUUUGAAUAUUUUAAAAGAAUAAUAAUUUUCAAUAAUUUUUAUAAAAAUAAAUGUCAGGUCAAGGUGUAGCUUAUAAUUAAGAAAAUAAUGGGUUACAAUAAAUAUAUUUAUGCGGAUUUUAUAUUGUAAUAUAUAAAUAAAGAUGGAUUUGAUAGUAAAAUUUUUUAAUUUAAAAAUUUGAUUAUAGCUCUAAAAUAUG